CCUACGGGAGGCAGCAGUGAGGAAUAUUGGUCAAUGGACGAGAGUCUGAACCAGCCAAGUAGCGUGAAGGAUGACUGCCCUAUGGGUUGUAAACUUCUUUUAUAUGGGAAUAAAAUGUUCCACGUGUGGGAUUUUGUAUGUACCAUAUGAAUAAGGAUCGGCUAACUCCGUGCCAGCAGCCGCGGUAAUACGGAGGAUCCGAGCGUUGUCCGGAUUUAUUGGGGUUAAAGGGAGCGUAGGUGGAUUGUUAAGUCAGUUGUGAAAGUUUGCGGCUCAACCGUAAAAUUGCAGUUGAAACUGGCAGUCUUGAGUACAGUAGAGGUGGGCGGAAUUCGUGGUGUAGCGGUGAAAUGCUUAGAUAUCACGAAGAACUCCGAUUGCGAAGGCAGUUCACUGGACUGCAACUGACACUGAGGCUCGAAAGUGUGGGUAUCAAACAGGAUUAGAUACCCGAGUAGUC
rnacentral:rRNA from 1 species